GAUUCGGGGGUGGUGCGCGUGCGCAGCUCCUGUCCGGGCUCGGGUCGGGGACCGUGCACGUGUGCGUGUGCUCCCGAGUCGGAUUCGGGGGAGCGAGCCCCGAGCUUUGUCACAUUCACCCCGCCGUGUGGGAUCGGCAAGAAAAUGGAGACAAAAACGCCCCUACCUGGGGUUUUCUUUGAGAUAAGGAACAGCACGCAAAAUGGACACUUAGUAUUAGGGACUUUCCCUGAGGAUUGCUCAGAAUUGCAAGUGAGGCUCGGCCUGACGUCCGUUAAUCUCCAGGCUUCUGAGAGGCGUGUGAACUUUGGGUUGCCAGCAGGGGUCAGGAUUGCUCCUUCCUCUUGCCGCGGUCUCCAGUACAUUGCAGGAGACGGCUUCCACAUGAGGCUGCAAGUUCUUACUGAUGGACCUAAAGAGUUGGUUCCAACAGUGAUACAGACACUGAAAGCCCAGGCAUGUUAUGCCUUUCAGUGCCAGAGCUGCGGGCAAUCUCUACUCCAGACACAGAUGUUUCAGAGAGUUUUACCUUUGCCUAAUGGAGAUUGGAAUGAUGUGGUGGAACACUGGUGCUGCCAUUCCAAUCCUUUUGCCCGGGAUUUUCAGCCGAAGUUGGAUGACUGUUUCUUGGGGGAUACUUUCCUGUUGGUGAACGUGGCAAAUGUUGAUAAACUGGCUGCACAUGAAGAGGAGAGUCAACCGGAGAUCAGACAGAAAGUGGAUGACAAAGGAGACCAUUUAGUGAAGAUGCCAAACAAAAAUAAAACAGUAAUCUGCUGCCGUUGCAGGAAGAUGCUGGGAAAUAUGAUAUCUUCAGAUACAAUUAAAUUUUAUAUCACUGAACUGCUGGUCCAACCAUUGAUGAAGGAGACUUUGGAAAGACAAAUAAAUGAAAGAUAUUACUUUGUGGAGAGAGUGGUUGCUGGUCGACUGAUGGAGUUAUCGUCUAUUCAAAGCACCUUUAGAUUCUGCAUUCAAGGGCAUGAUGGAGAGACUUACGCUUUGCUCUGGCUUUUGAAUUCGGACACCCUGCUGGUGAGAUCACACAACGAUAGCAUUUGUGAUUUUACUGCAGUUGCCAGCACCACUGUGACGAAUGAAUCUACAGUCCGUUUGUGUGAAGCAAACAAUGCUGUCAAAGUCCUGUAUCAUCCCUGCUUGAAAGGAAGAAACAAAAUUGUGCAGGAGAAAUGGGAGAAGAACAUUGGUGUGCACUGCAUGAUCUUCCCAGCGAGCACCUGUCUGGAGCUGUUACUCAUACUAGCAUCCUCAACUGCCUCUCUCCCUCCAUCACUGCAGAAUUUGAACUCAUUCAAGGUAGCAUUUUUGAAACUGGAUUGAUGGUAGUCAUUACCAAAUCGGAUAAGUACAUGGAUUGGGAAGGACUUCGGUGUUUGCUUCGUGAAUCAAUUUGCAGGACAUCUUCCUGGCAAAUCUUGGCACUGUCAGUGAUGAGCGUGGUGAAAGGUUUCAUCAGGACGUUGCAGUCAUGGAGAAAUGGUAUCAGGACAACUGGAAUCCAUCAAUGCUGGCUGAUUAUUGUUGGACACUUAAGCAAGAAGCCUCAGACACUGAGUACAAAUGGAAAUCAUCAACAAAACAAACAAAAACAUUUUUAGCUUACUUGAACUAUUGCAAAACAUCAGCACCAUUAUGCAAUUAACCACAUUAUAUUCAAUAAAAGUUAAUGUCUUUCUCUAAAUUCCUACAUGGUGCAAGUAGUCUGAAAUUAUAUUUGUGUUCAGCUUCAAGUGGUCUCCCUUAAACAAAUAAAAAUUUCUGAAGAAACAACACUUACGAAAAAGAAUUGUUGUCCAGUGAUAGCGAUCAAUUACUUCACACUUCUAAUUUAAGAAAUAGGAAAUUUAAAUAAUGUAGCAGCACAAUGAUUGAUACCUCUAAUCUGAAAUAUAAAACUAAGUAAAUAGCUUAUACCUCCUUGCUUUUUGGGUUAUAUCUCUUCCCAUCCUGUUACUUGUGAAAAAAAAAUGCAAUCCCCUUCUCUCAAUUCCUUCAUCUUUGCUGCAUCUGCUCUCAGGAUGAGGCUUUUCAUUCUAGAAUGAAGGAGGUGUCCUCCUUUUUCCAAGAAAGGGGCUUCCUUUCCUCCACCAUCAAUGCUGCUCCAACCUCAUCUCUUCCAUUUCAUGCAUGUCUGCUGCUACCCCAUCCUCCUGCCACCUUUCAGGGUAGGGUUCCUUUUAUCCUCACCUACCACCACACCAUGGGUUCCAACCCAUAACCACGUCCAACCCAUAAUUCUUCCGCCAACUUCCGCCACCUGUGAUGGGAUUCCACCACCAAGCACAUCUUUCCCUCCCCCCCCCCCCCAACUUUCUGCUUUCGGCUGGGCUUGCUUCCUACUAAAUCCCUUAUCCAUUCGUCUCUCCCCACUGAUCUCCUUCCUGCCACUUAUCCUUGCAAGUGGGACAAGUGCUACACCUGCCCCUAACACUUUUUCUCUCACCACCAUUCAGGGCCCCAAACAGUCCUUCCAGGUGAGCCAACACUUCACCUGUUGGGGUUAUAUUCUGUGUUCGGUGCUCCCGGUGUGGCCUCCUGUAUAUCGGUGAGACCCAGUGUAGAUUGGGAGACUGUUUCGCUGAGCACCCAUGCUCUGUCUGCCAAAAGAAAUGGAUCUCUCAGCAUCCACCCAAAUUAAUUAACACUUCCCAUUCCCAUUCCAAUAUGUCAAUCCAUGGUCCCCUCUACAGCUGCAAUGAGACCACAUUCAGAUUGGAGGAGCAACACCUUAUAUUCUGCCUGGGUAGCCUCCAAGCUGUAAACAUCAGUUACAGCUUGAACUUCUGGUAAUGGAUCCCCCUACCACUACUUCACCAGUCCCCCUUCCUGCUUCUCUCUCAUACCUUAUCUCCUUGCCCACCUAUCUCCUCCCCCCUUUUCUUUCUUCCAUGGCCUUCUCUCCUCUCACACUCCCUCUUCUUUAACCCUCUUUCAGCAAUCAACUUCCCAGCUCUUUACUUCAUCCCCCCCUCCCAGUUUCACCUACCACCUUGUGUUUCUCCCUCCCCUCCCCCACUUUUAAAAUCUACUCUUCAUCUUUUUUCCUGCAGUCCUGCCGAAGGGUCUCAGCCUGAAACAUCGACUGUCCUUCUUUUCCAUAGAUGCUGCCUGGCCUGCUGAGUUCCUCCAGCAUUUUGUGUGCUUUGCUCAAAUUUCCAGCACCUGCAGAUUUUCUGUUGUUUUUAAGUAGUUUAUAAUGCUGUUCAUCCUGCACAAUAGUGAAAUACAGCAAGAGUGAUUUGGGCAUGUAUUGACUAGUUCCUGAUGUUGCAUAGAUUUUGUUAAAGGAAUGAUAUUGCCUGGGUUUUAAGUGCAUCAAUAAUUAAUGAGCUAGCCCAGAAUCACCAGUCGACAUUCCUAUCGACAACAUGCAAAGCCUAUCCUCUGUGUUGUGAUUCAUGGUUUGCAAGGUGGCAAAUCAAAAUCGGCUCACACCCAGCAACCACUUUCAAAGGACAAAUGAUCUGAACUUUCACUGCAUUUAGAAGCUCUGCUAAAAAAAUCUUGUUGAAAAUGACUAAAUGCUCACUAUUUUAGUUUGGGCAUCAGUUCUAAAGUUUCAUAGUGAUGCACAAAAAAACAUAUCUACAUGAGUUUCAUUGCAAGGUGAACUUUUUUAUCCGUCUUUAUAUUGAUCAUAUAGAGGAUGACCACAUAAUCCAGCCAAUAAACACCCAAUAAAAGCUGUACUGUGAUCCCUUUAGUGUUGCUAUCAUGAGCGUCAUCUUACAGAUGCCUCGUCAGUCUCUUCAGAAACUAAUUAUCUGGGCAACAUUCCACAACGCAAGCAGUAGCUAAUAGAAUUAUGUGUGUAGUAUAUAAAAGGGAUUUCAGCUUUUCUGUGCUCCAAGACAACGUUGUGUAUAUCACCAGCCCCAGGUCAGACCCCACAAAUUGACUACAAAGAAAUAUGCACAGAUCACAGUUCCCAUAAAAAAGAUACAGGUAUCCCCUGUUUUACAAAAGUUCGCUUUAUGCCACUUCGCUUUUACAAAAGACCUACAUUAGUACCUGUUUUCGCUAACCGAAAGAAAUCCAAAGAGGAUCACAGCUACCUGGACUAUUCCUCUUCCCACCCUGUCUCUUGCAAAAAUGCUAUCCCCUUCUCACAAUUCCUCUGUCUCCACCGGAUCUGCUCUCAGAAUGAGGCUUUUCAUUCCAUGACGAAGGAGAUGUCUUCCUUUUUUAAACAAAGGGGCUUCCCUUCUUCCACCAUCAAUUCGGCUCUCAAACGCAUCUCUCCCAUUUCCCGCACAUGUGCCCUCAUCCCAUCGCAACGCCACACCACUCGGGAUAGGGUUCCCCUUGUCCUCACCUACCACCCCACUAGCCUCCAGGUCCAACGUAUAAUUCUCCGUAAUUUCCGCCACCUCCAAUGGGAUCCCACUACCAAGCACAUCUUUCCCUCCCCACUUCUUUCUGCUUUCCGCAGAGAUCGCUCCCUAUGCGACUCCCUUGCCCACUCAUCCCUCCCAUCCCUUCCCACCAAUCUCCCUCCUGGCACUUAUCCUUGUAAGCGGAACAAGUGCUACACCUGCCCUUACACUUCCUCCCUCACCACUAUUCAGGGCCUCAGACAGUCCUUCCAGGUGAGGCGACACUUCACCUGUGAGUCGGCUGGUGUGGUAUACUGUAUCCGGUGCUCCUGAUGUGGCCUUUUAUAUAUUGGUGAGACCCGACGCAGACUGGGAGACCGUUUCGCUGAACACCUACGCUCUGUCUGCCAGAGAAAGCAGGAUCUCCCAGUGACCACACAUUUUAAUUCCAUAUCCCAUUCCCAUUCUGAUAUGCCUAUCCCUGGGCGCCUCCUACUAUCAAACUGAAUCCAAACUCAGGUUGGAGGAACAACACCUUAUAUACCGGCUGGGUAGCCUCCAACCUGAUGGCAUGAACAUUGACUUCUCUAACUUUCGUUAAUGCCCCUCCUCCCCUUCUUACCCCAUCCCUGACAUAUUUAGUUGUUUGCCUGUUCUCCAUCUCCCUCCGGUGCCCCCCCACUUCUUGCUCCUGAGGCCUCCCGUCCAAUGCUCUGAAUCUUCCCUUCUCCAGCUUUGUAUCACUUAUGCCAAUCACCUUUCCAGCUCUCAGCUUCAUCCCACCCUUCUCCUAUCAUUUCGCAUUUCCUCCUCCCCCCACUACUUUUAAAUCUCUUACUAUCUUUCCUUUCAGUUAGUCCUGACGAAGGGUCUUGGCCUGAAAGGUCAACAGUGCUUCUUAUCGAUGCUGCCUGGCCUGCUGUGAUCCAGCAGCAUUUUGUGUGUGUUGUUAAGUGAAGAUAGCAUCCAGCGUUUGUUUUGCAGAGAGCCGUUAUAGAGGCAGCGCGCACCCCGAGCAGUGAGAGUGGCGAAAAGCGAAAAUAGCAUUCACUGUUUGUUUUGCUCUCUGCAAAACCAACACUCAGCAUCUCAGCAUCAAGCUGCCAUAGCCUUGAACUGCGUGAGAUUUUUGCGACGAUUGACAGUGCUUCAAUGAUUGCAGAAAAAUGUGACUUUAAUUUUGAAAGGGCACGUAGCUUUAGGGCAGGUUUGCAGGAUGUUUUGAGUGCUUACGUAGAACUGUAUGAUAGAAAAAUGUGUGAACCUUCCAGUGUGCUAGCUGCCUUCCCGAUUCUGGUAAGUGAAGCUACACUGUACAUACAUUAUUUCUGCUUUUUAUAGGCUGUGUAUUUAUCAUAUCAUUCCUGCUUUUAUUAUAUGUUAGUGUUAUAUUUGGUUUUAUGUGUUAUUUGGUACGAUUUGGUAGGUUAUUUUUUGGGUCUGGGAACGCUCAGAAGUUUUUCCCAUAUAAAUUAAUGGGAAUUGCUUCUUCGCUUUCCGCAAUUUCGGCUUACGAAAGGUUUCAUAGGAACACUCUACUUUCGGACAGCAGGAGAAACCUGCAUAUUAAAUUGUGAUCUGUAUUGGUCCUGAAGCAGGAGGCUGAUAAUCUUUUCCAAAAAUAAACUUUA